GCCGGUGUAGCUCAGAUGGCAGAGCAGGGCACUUGUAAUGCCAAGGUCGGGGGUUCGAUGCCCUCCACCGGCUCCA
rnacentral:tRNA from 1 species